rnacentral:sRNA from 1 species
AGAUUGACCUUUCAUUCCUUGGAAAGAGUCUCGCUCACUGUGUGAUCAUCGUUUGAGCCCAAAGUGCUAAAAUACAGGUGUAGGUGUUUGAGAAGCGCUGUAGUUGAUCAUGGACGAAAUGCCUAAUUUAAGGAGCAGAGGCGGAGUGGAAAAUGAAAAAAGCUUCACCGCAGUGGAGACUUGUUAACAGCCCAGGGGAGAAAGGGGCUUAACAGAGUCUGAAAAUCGUGAAAGAGCUUGACCGAUGAAAUGGGCCUGGCUGUCGUAUCGGUUUGUGAGGCUUCAGUAUGAUCGUGAGUGUAAAUGACAGAAGGCUGAGGCCGGGGUGCUAGAGAACCUUGCCGUGCUGGAAUUCACGUUGACGCCCCCACGGAGCUCUGCUGCAGAGCCCUCGAGUCCCGCACUUCCGGCCGCCAGGUGGCGCUGGUUCUGUUGCCAACUCGGAGAGACUGAGCUGGGCCACGCAAGAUGGCGCCGUCCGCCUUGCUGCGUCCUCUCUCCCGGCUGCUGGCCCCCGCCAGGCUCCCGAGCGGCCCUUCAGUGCGAUCAAAGUUCUACGUGCGA